GGGGUCUGUGGGAGAGGUGGGGAGAGGUGAUGGGAGUGGGGCGGGGGAUCCGCAGGAGCUCUUGGAGUCCAAAUCUGGGCCCAUUUGGCCACGUGGAAACCUCAACCAUGGGGCUCAGUGCGGGGAGCGAGGAGGGCUGAUGUGGGGCUGUGCCAUAGGCCAUUCCAUGGGGCUGUGCCAUAGGGCCAUUCUAUGGGGCUGUGCCAUAGGUCGUGCUAUGGGGCCGUGCCACGUGCCCAUUGACGUGCUGUGGGGUGUCGGGUUCAUCCCAACCCGUGGGGCACGCGGCCGGGCGAUAAUUAUAGGGUCGGGGGGUGGCAGCGUGACCGCCGUGCUGGCGGUGUCCCCAUAGCAGGGCAGUGUGGGACAAUCCCUUCCCAUCCCCCUCCCAGGGGUCCAUGGGGGGCAGAGGGCCGACCCCAUUUGCUCCCAUCGCUUUGGGGCUGAAACCCGGGGGUCGCCGACCCGGGGGCUCUGUCUGCUCCCCCAUGGGGGGCACUGUGUGUGUGUGUGUGUGUGGGGGGGGGGGGUUGUGGGGAUCCCACAGUGACAGCUGAUCCCAAAGGCACAAAGUUCACCGGGUGCUGAGGCUGCGCUGGCGCUGUGGGUUUGGGUUUCAGGAGCCCCAUGGGAUCACGGCCAGCAAACCCCCCCUGCAUGGGGAGCUCCCAUCUGCUGUACUCGAGGUUAGGGGCACUGUAGGGGCUCCUGAGCGCUAUAUAGGGGAUCCUAAAUGCUAUAGGGGAUCCUGAGUGCUGUAGGGAUCCCGAAAUGCUUUAGGGACUCUUAAAUGCUAUGCAGGGACUCCUGAGUCCUGUAGGGAUUCCUAAAUGCUAUAUAGGUGCUCUUGAGUACUAUAGGGACUCCUGAGUGCUAUACAGAGUCUCCUAAAUGCUAUAGGGGCUUCUAAGUGCUCUAUAGGGACUCCUGAGUCCUAUAUAGGGCUUCCUAAAUGCUAUAGGGAACUCCUGAACUCCACAUAGGGACUCCUGAGUGCAAUGGGGAUUCCUAAAUGCUCUAUAGGGACUCCUGAGCUUUACACAGGGACUCUUAAAAUGCUAUAGGGGCUCCUAAAUGCCGUGUAGGGACUCCUGAAUGCUGUAUAGGGGUUUCUGGGUGCCGCAGGGCCUCUCCCACACAGGGAAACCCAUAGAGAGCUCUCCCAUCCCAAAUCCCAUUGGGUUUUCCCAUCCGAGUGGGACAGAAUCCCAAUGGCCGCGUUGUCCGAAUGGAGCCCCAUUCCCCCCCGGCCCCAAAAGAGGCCGAGGAUGCGGUGUGGGGUUACGGGGCCGCAGGUGCCCCCCACCCCAUUACAACGUCGGCUCAUGGCAAGAAAGGAAAGGAGAGAUUUGAACUGGUUUUACUCAAUGGGAACGGUGGCGUCCCAAACGUGGCCUCUGCCCCUUCCAUCCGGAAAGGGUUCCCAACUUCCGUCUGAAAGCGGUGGAAUAUAAAAAAAAAGGAAAUAUCAUAAAGUGGCAAAUCCUGCCUGGCUGCAAAUAAAUUAUCUUCGGUUCUCGAUUAUAUACAAAAGACGUUUCCCAAAUCAGCCCUCGUCCCGACGUCGGCGUUAAGUAGUAUUUACAUCGCUCUGUACAUGGGGUCCCUCAGCUCUUCUGGGGCCCUGGGGGGCGGUUCAGCAGUCUGUUCCUGAUGUCCUCCAGGACUUCGUUGUAGAGCUCCUCUCGGCUCUUCAGCCCAUCUAAAUAGACGACAUCGACCCCGCUGUCCUCCAUCUCCUUCCGGUGCUUCAGGUACAUGGGCCACACGUGGCCAUCGAAGAGGCCGGGGGGGUCGGGGACGGUGUAGCUGCGUGUACU
rnacentral:lncRNA from 1 species